GGCUCGGUAGCGAGUGGUUCGCAUCCGUCAAUCAUUGGUGUGUAGGAAUAUUGAUUCAAGGGGGAAGUCGCCUGUUCAAAUCAGGCCCGAGCCA